AGUGAACGCUGGCGGUAGGCCUAACACAUGCAAGUCGAACGGCAGCACAGUAAGAGCUUGCUCUUACGGGUGGCGAGUGGCGGACGGGUGAGGAAUACAUCGGAAUCUACUUUUUCGUGGGGGAUAACGUAGGGAAACUUACGCUAAUACCGCAUACGACCUACGGGUGAAAGCAGGGGAUCUUCGGACCUUGCGCGAUUAAAUGAGCCGAUGUCGGAUUAGCUAGUUGGCGGGGUAAAGGCCCACCAAGGCGACGAUCCGUAGCUGGUCUGAGAGGAUGAUAGGCCACACUGGAACUGAGACACGGUCCAGACUCCUGCGGGAGGGAGCAGUGGGGAAUAUUGGACAAUGGGCGCAAGCCUGAUCCAGCCAUACCGCGUGGGUGAAGAAGGCCUUCGGGUUGUAAAGCCCUUUUGUUGGGAAAGAAAAGCAGCAGGUUAAUACCCCGCUGUUCUGACGGUACCCAAAGAAUAAGCACCGGCUAACUUCGUG
rnacentral:rRNA from 1 species